GUUUAGUCUUAGAUGCAUUAUUUUUUAUUAGUUGUUAGUGGCUUUGAACUAGCUGUCAGAUAACUGCGAGUACUCUCAGAUCUGUUCCUAGUGUCUUUUUGUUGUCAGGAUGUUCAAGAACCCGGCCACGUCCAAUUGUAUUUUUGUCCUUCUGAUGAGUUGAAUCUUUUUCAACUGAUUUUUAUAGUUCCUUCUUAUGUUGUACUGUUAUAUAGACCACUGUCCCAGGUAACGGGGAGGGUUGGGAUCCCGCUAACAUGUUUAACCCCUCCACAUUAUUUAUGUAUGUGCCUGUCCCAAGUCAGGAGCCUGUAAUUCAGUUUGUUGUCGUUUGUUUAUGUGUUACAUAUUGAAUCAUAUUUGUUUUUCGUUAAUUUUUUUUUUUAUAUAUAAAAAUAAGGCCUUCAGUUUUCUCGUUUAAAUUGUUUUACAUUGUCAUAUCGGGGCCUUUAAUAGCUGACUAUGCGGUAUGGUUUUUGUUCAUUGUUGAAGGCCGUAUAGUUGUUAAUGUCUGUGUCAUGUUGGUCUCUUGUGGACAGUUGUCCCAUUGGCAGUCAUACCACAUAGUUGAAAAUUUCAUUCACCAGAAGAUCUCAACAUUGUUCCAGAAUAUCUCAACCGAUACCAGAAAAUCUCAACAUG
rnacentral:lncRNA from 1 species